AGCAGGAAACAGGAAGAGCAUGUUUUUUUCUGCUAAUCUCUGACACCACUCUCACCCUCAUCACGAACAUCACCAUCAGAGUAAGUUGGAUGUAUCUGUCUCUUUUUGUUUUUGUUUUUCAUGUAAUCAUUAAUGGCAAAAAGAUAACUCAACAACAACCUUGGAUUGGACAUUGGAUUGUACUAGGAGCGCGCCAAAAACACCUCACUCCCGCACCCAGACAAUGACUAAAAUUCAGGUCAGCAUAGUCACUACAAUAUAUGUUGUAUAUAAAUAUUAAAUCUUUGGUGAUUCACAGAGAGGGGGAGGGGAAGGUGACCAGUGUACAAGUUCCUUUUAAAGCUGUAGCAACACAACAAAGAGCUGACUCAAUCCUGAACCACCGCAGACUAUAAGUUUUAUAUAAAAGGAAAGUUUUAAUCCUGAACUCUUACUAGUCGAUGAAUCCAAAGGAUUUAUCUGAUGAAAUCUUCUGAGUCAUGAGUGCAAAGAAUUCAUUCAAGAGAAAAGUAAUCAAAGUUCUGCUCCACAGACCUGUGCUGAAACAACCCGAGUUAACUUACGGGUCCCUUCGCUGCGUGAUGUGUGCACCUCUUGUGGAGCGCCACCUGCCCACAACCUCUUAUUACUUUAAUUUCCUUUUUUUUUAUGACCUUUUACAAGGACAGGAAUAGAAAACAAGUUAUAUAGUUCAAUGAUUAGCAUUCAUGCAACAGAGCAAUCAGAGCCUGAAAUUGCACUGAAAUUACAGAAGCUGUGGAAAUUAAAUAAAAUGAAAGCCGGAACAAGGUUAAUCUAAAAAUACCAUGUCAUUAUUUUUGCACUCUCACGCAAAUCAGCCUGUAAAACAGCUGAAAACAAAUCUCCAAAUGACAGGCCCCACUUCCUAGCUGCUAGAUGAAAAAUUAACUAUAUAUUACGUUGACAUAUAACAUUUAAGGAGAAAUUUAUAAGCUCUUCACAACAGAAAAUAAAGAUGCUGCUGUCGUUUUAGUUCAAGAUUGUUUUAAUACUUACAAUUCUGUGCAGUCUCACCUUUGCUUGACAUUGUAAUGCAGUUGUGAAAACCGGGCAGGGUACGAACAACGAGCCUCUGGAAGAAAAGCAAAAGGACCGGCAAGUCUGCUCACAAGAGAUGACAGGAAUUUUUGAUGUGAUGGAAAAACUUUGGAGCUUUUUAUGGAUAAAUUGAAGAAAAAAUUCUGUAAAGCAACAAAUUACAUAUGAGUAUAACUGUAACCCCAACUAUAACCCCAAGAGCAAUCAAAAAAAAAAGAAAUUAGAAUAUAUAUAUAUAUUUUUUUGCAUGUAUGAGUGAUGCUUCCUGUAUGAUUAAAUAUAUAUGAUUGUAAAAAUACAAUAAAAUAAAGUAAAAACAUUUUAGUGCUGCUGCUGAUGUAACCCUAUGAUUCUUUCUGCCGAUAUGUCAAAGCUCCACUACCGUUAUGUGCCUUCUGCUGUGUAAUGUGCACUGAGCAUCCAAAGCUCGGGUAGUUGUGGGGCAAAACAAUGUUGCAAAAAAGGACAUAUCCUUCAGGAGCAAAGAAAAGAAAGACGAAGAAGAGAAAUACGCCAGGAAAUAGGUAUGUUUGCAUGUCAUGGAAUGUUAAUCAAGAGAUUUGUGAAGGUGUGUGAAUGAUCAACAAUCAAUAUUACUUGGGUCGGCUCUGAUACUUCACUAUGGCAAAUACACAAAGUUGAGGUAAAUUAGUAAUUAAUUAUCCAGUGUUUCAUCCAGUCACAAACAUACUGCACUGAUUUCUCUAUCACAUAUUUUCAGAACUGAAGACACCUUUUGGAAGAGAGGCGAAACGUCCUCAGGAACCUCAAACAAGUCCAAGAUUAAGUUUUACUGUAUUUCUGUCCUUUUCCCUUAACUUAAUUUAUUCCAUGACUUUUAUUUAGUUUGCAAAGUUAUUUUAAUAUAAAAACAUAGAUUAUAUAUUAGACAUAAAUUGACUGUAUAAAGAUAUUAAGACUUAUCACAUCAUAUAAAAUCAUCAUUAAAAAAAUGUAAUACUAAUAAUAAUGUAGUUCAGGUAUCAAUGAAAUUAUCAACGACACAUUAUGAUAGUAGAAUACAACCAUGCAACUUUUUCAGCAUUUUACUGCUUCCAUGUAAUACUGCAGUAAAGAAGUAUUUUAAAAUAAAACAAAAUAACAACAAAAUAGCAUAAAACAAAUGCAAAUCUUUAUGUUAAUAAGAGAAAUAACCUCUUUAAGAGCGCGGAUGAGCUUAACAAAAAUGAAACAUACUUAUGCUUAAAAACAUAAGGCAUAAGGUCAACAAUAGAUAAAUAGGAGAUGGAUAAGACAUUUCUCUGUGUCAUGUGCUGGUGUUGGGUUUUGGGCUGGUGUUUGGUCUGAUAAUCAUGUGCAGCCUUUUGUCAGUUCGGUUGCUCUAUACCUCCCCUCUGUACUGGAAUUCGGUCCCUUUCAGCAGCUAUUCAAACUCCAUCCCUCCAAAUGUGCAGAUAUGCCGCAAAGUAUUCAGUUAUUAUUUCUUAAACCAGCAGUGUAUGUUUUUUAAUAACUGAAAAAAUGUUGUUGAAGAUCCUUGAACAGAUUGUGCGCAGCCUUCCUGAAUUUAACUGGUGCUCUGAGCAUAAUACAAACACUUGUAAUUGCAUUUUUUAAAAGCCAAACAGAAACACUCUCAAUACGAGCAAAAUCCUUCAGAUUUUUGCUUUUAUAUGAAUCCUACAAUUCCAUCAGCGCCCUCUAAUCGAGUCUCAUUCAUUGACAUUGCGUGGUAGAGAUAUUUUUUAAUUAUUUUUUUGUACAUCAUGCACUCUGAAGUGUUGAAUAUUUAUAUUUGGUAUAACUAUGAGGUGUUUACAGUAGUUUUAUUCAGGGAAGUCUUGCAUUUGCCCUGAUAGAUGAGGAUAUAUAGUAGCUUCUGUGAUUUCAGUGAGCAGGCUCUUUAACAGGAAAACAGAGUCCACCAUUCUCAUUGGUUCAGUUCAUACCGAUAAUUUCAUUCACAUAUCUCAGAGUGACAGUGAGAUGAAGCAGACCUCUGUCAGCCAUCAUGAAGAAAAACAGCGAGAAUGUCUCUCUGGCUGUGUUUGACGAUUUGAAAUAUGUGGAGACCAAAUAAACCAGUGAAUGAAAAAGAGACGAAAAUGCGACCAGAAAAAAGGCAAAUGAACAACCCCCCCCCCAAAAAAAAGUAAAAGCCUGUGAUGCAGAGGGCAGGAAAACAGUGUUCUUGUACUGCAUGUGGCAUUUUUUAUUUCCAGUUAAACUCGUCCGUUCGGAGGAUUUCUUCCUGGAACCGGCUCUGUCUGUACGGAGCAGCUAUGAAACACAAUCACAUCUGAAAGCUCUGAUGAAAUGGGUAUGAGCUUAAAUCACUAUUUCCGUAAAUCAAUUGGAAAUAAAAAAAAAAAACAGAAAUCUAUUUGGGGAAAAAAUGCCAAAGACUAUUACUUUAAUAGAAUCUCAAAUACAGGCAAUUUAGGCAAAAUGAAACAAAAUACUUAUUUGGCACAAAAAAACUGCUGGCUGCUUUUCCACAUUAGAUUUAUAAACCACCAAAUAUUACUAUAGGGAUACCGCCAGCAGCAGCAGCAAUCCUUCAUGACAUUUAGUACUUUUUCCUUCAUUUUAGAUUAAAUAUAAUGAGAGGUUUCAACGUGUAGACCACACUGCAUAUUGAGUAAACAUUUUUGUUUGUGUUUAUUAUUUAGCUUAUAGCAGAAUUGGCAGAAAAACAAAGCUACACUCAACUUCUACUUCAAUAAGAGGAUACUAGUUUUUCAAUUAAACACAGAAAAGCUAAUCAGCUCAGCAGAUAAGAGUGAGGAAGGGUUUAUAUUGAGAGACCACAGCAUGGCUGUAAGCGUACUUCUCUCUGAGUCGGUCAUAUUUGACUAAAAAGACAAAAUAGGUAGACCUCUCUAAAUCUCUGCAUCUGUCUGACCACUCCAGACAUUAACCAGACCACUGUGGUCUACCAAACCAGCAUCACCUAUCUAAAGAGGAUGAAAAUAGAUAAUACAUUUCGUUGCUUGUUUUCCUGUGUGUGUAUAUAUAGUCCUUGUCUUCCCCUGUUUCUUGGUUGGUUCAUUAUGAGUGUGUGUGGUGUGUUAUAAUACUUCAGUGUUUCCUCGUGGUUUUUUCCCCCUCAGUGAUUUUUUUUGGAUUUUGGAUCUUGAGUUCAACCUUUUCUAGUAAGUUUUUGUUCCUUUUAAAUAAAUCAAUUUUUUGUUCUGCACAUGGGUCCUUUCCCCUUUUGUUUCACCUUGAAAAACGUGCAAAAACCUGGAUUAAUAUGAAAUAUAAAAGGUGCACUGAUUUAUAGUGAGCAGGUUGUUAAGCAGAUUGGAAUCAAGAUUCUGAUUCACAGCCUGCUCACCGCUCGUUAAUCUUACUAUCCAGCUUACUAAUAAAAACAGAAGUUACCACAAAUCUUGAUUUUAGAUGGAUUUUAACAUUUAUCAUCGUUUUGGAAUCCAUCUGAUUCCAUGAUUGAUAAUGUUCCCAUGACAACUCAUCCUAUUUUUUAGCAAUAAGAUUAAGUCAUUAGCCUGUACAUUAAACUGGACAUUUACAUUCAUGUAAGUUAGAUAAUGGUGAACAGACCUUCUACAGCAAUUUUUCAGUUUCUGUCUUCAUCCAGCUCUCCUUCUGUGGUCAUGCUAAUACCACGACUGCUUACGGUUAAAGUUACUCAGAGAUGCUCAUUAAUGCUGCCGUUUUUGUGGAUUGCAGCCAGGAUCUUUCUCUGCUUUUCCCUAUCAGGGAUGGUAGGGGCCCUGUAUCCCCUCAGGCUGUUGUUGUUGUUACAUCGGUGCCUGCUAACUGUCCUUAUUUCCUGACUCUCUAGACCAGCUCGGUUCAAGGUUCAAGGUCAACUUUAUUAUCCCUAUGAGGGCCAAUUUGUUUUGCAGCCAACGGUGAGAAAAGACAAUAAAAAUAAAACAGAAAAACAGAAACGAACACUGCUGCUACUGUGUUUACUGAUAUGCCACUGAGAAAUAAUGUAUUUGCCACAUUGUCAACAAGCUAAAAUACAUUAGACUCCUCUCCACAGAUUAAUUGGAUACGACUCAAGUGAUCAGGUUCCAGUCAGAAUCAAUCAUUGUGAUCAUCCAAACAGCGUCCACCUCUGCAGCCUGGCAUCCUGUUUUCUGCCAAACUCCACCUGUUGAUGGUUCACUUCACUUCAAAUAGUCUUGUUCAAGUUGUCUGACCAGGAUUAAGGCUGUUUUUAUACCGUUUUGAUGCAGUGCAGUGCUCCCUCUUACUUCUGCCUGUUUUUGGCUUCAAUAGUCUCUCAGCGAUAAACUGUUCAAAUGAGGAUGAUGGCUGACAAUUCAGACUGUUUUCUCCUCCAAGGCGUUAAAAGUGUUCCUCCAAGACAGACGCAUACACAAGCUAUUCUGUCAGACUGAAUGUCUCUCUGUUACUG